AAUGCUGAAGCGCGGGCUGUGACGUCGCCAACUCACUCUCUUUCCAUUCCUAAGGUUUGCCACAUCAUAUUAUAGUCCCACGUGUCAACUUCUAUUACUCCAACAUUGUUACUGGGCUGUAGCUAUUCUCCACUUUCUCAUUUUCAUCUCCUAAUUGAUCAGCCCACCCAUGAAAUUUUUACGUUAUUUUUCCCACUCUUAAUUUACACAACUUUUUGUUUUUCAAUUCAAUUUUCACCUAAAGCAUUUAUUUUGAAACUGUCAAUCAAUAUCCUCUUCACAAACUAGCAGCAGUUUGCAUCACAAUGAAUUGCAAAUUUCAGAUCACAUUCACAGAGUACCAUUGAAUGAUAACGCUUUUGCAUCCCCACUCCUUCUUCAAGAACCAACGCCCUCCCUUUCCCUUUUCUUCCUCCUCUCCACCGCCUCCUUCUCCCAAAGGGACUUAAGGAACAAACAUGAAUCUGAGUUGCGGUUUUCAGGACACUCUAUUUAUUUUUCUAACAGAGUUGAUCCCUCACGUGUUGUCCAAAUCUCUUGGCAACCAAGGUCAGUCUGUGGCACAACUAAUGGGCACUAGGAGGUAUCAUCAUAUUGUCAAAUUUUGUUGAUUAUGAAUUUUAAAGGCAUAUGCUCUUUCUUCUUCUACACUCCCUCCACUAAUAAAAGGAGCUUUUUUGCAUACUUUUCUUUAUCGUGUAUAAACUGCAAGCUAAUAUGCCAAAAGCAAUGGCCACAUAAAAAUUGUUUUUCUCACCGCGCAACACGCGGGUCUAA